rnacentral:rRNA from 1 species
AUAGUGAUUUCAUUAUGGGAGCUGGUUAUGCUUGAAGCUAUCACAUCAAUCACUAGGAGAGGGAUGUUGAAGAUAAGACUAGUGAUUGGAGUGAAGUCAAACAAUGUAAUUGUACUAGAAAGUGAGAUUU